rnacentral:rRNA from 1 species
GAUGAACGCUGGCGGCGUGCCUAACACAUGCAAGUCGAGCGGGAUUUUCCAGAUUGAAGCUUCGGUAGAUUGAAGGAAAUGAGAGCGGCGGACGGGUGAGUAACUCCGUAGGCAACCCUGCCCUUUGCAGAGGGAUAGCCCAUUGGAAAACGAUGAUUAAAAACCCUCAUAAUGCCACGAAGUGACAUCGCUUUGUGGCCAAAAGGAUUUUAUCCGGGCCAAAAGGGAUGGGGCCUGCGUCUGAUUAGCUGGUUGGUGAGGUAACGGCUCACCAAGGCGACGAUCAGUAGCCGACCUGAGAGGGUGAUCGGCCACGAUUGGAACUGAGACACGGGUCCAAAACUCCUACGGGAGGCAGCAGUGGGGAAUAUUGGCACAAUGGGCGAAAGCCUGAUGCAGCAACGCCGCGUGAGCGAAGAAGGCC